GACGAACGCUGGCGGCGUGCUUAACACAUGCAAGUCGAACGGUAAGGCCCUUCGGGGUACACGAGUGGCGAACGGGUGAGUAACACGUGGGUGAUCUGCCCUGCACUUCGGGAUAAGCCUGGGAAACUGGGUCUAAUACCGGAUAGGACCACUGCCUGCAUGGGGGGUGGGGGAAAGCUUUUGCGGCGUGGGAUGGGCCCGCGGCCUAUCAGCUUGUUGGUGGGGUGAUGGCCUACCAAGGCGACGACGGGUAGCCGGCCUGAGAGGGUGACCGGCCACACUGGGACUGAGAUACGGCCCAGACUCCUACGGGAGGCAGCAGUGGGGAAUAUUGCACAAUGGGCGCAAGCCUGAUGCAGCGACGCCGCGUGAGGGAUGACGGCCUUCGGGUUGUAAACCUCUUUCAGCACCGACGAAGCGCAAGUGACGGUAGGUGCAGAAGAAGGACCGGCCAACUACGUGCCAGCAGCCGCAGUAA
rnacentral:rRNA from 1 species